rnacentral:ribozyme from 1 species
UCGUAUAGAAGAAGGAGAAGAAGAAGAAGACAUACCUUACUUACAUGGUGUUCUUUUUUUUUUUUUUUUUUU